UGUCGGUAGUAUAGUGUUGUGAGUAUGCUGUCUUUCCAAGUCAGGGGUCCAAUGGGUUUGGCUGACACAA